rnacentral:rRNA from 1 species
GAUGAACGCUGGCGGCGUGCCUAAUACAUGCAAGUCGAGCGAAUGGAUUAAGAGCUUGCUCUUAUGAAGUUAGCGGCGGACGGGUGAGUAACACGUGGGUAACCUGCCCAUAAGACUGGGAUAACUCCGGGAAACCGGGGCUAAUACCGGAUAACAUUUUGAACCGCAUGGUUCGAAAUUGAAAGGCGGCUUCGGCUGUCACUUAUGGAUGGACCCGCGUCGCAUUAGCUAGUUGGUGAGGUAACGGCUCACCAAGGCAACGAUGCGUAGCCGACCUGAGAGGGUGAUCGGCCACACUGGGACUGAGACACGGCCCAGAAUCCUGCGGGAGGCAGCAGUAGGGAAUCUUCCGCAAUGGACGAAAGUCUGACGGAGCAACGCCGCGUGAGUGAUGAAGGCUUUCGGGUCGUAAAACUCUGUUGUUAGGGAAGAACAAGUGCUAGUUGAAUAAGCCGGCACCUUGACGGUACCUAACCAGAAAGCCACGGCUAACUACGUGCCAGCCGCCGCGGUAA